GCCCCGGUAGCUCAGCGGUAGAGCAACCGCUUCGUAAGCGGUAGGCCGUUGGUUCGAAUCCGACUCGGGGCACCA
rnacentral:tRNA from 1 species